UUCAACCUGAAAUUGCUUCUCCAAGUUGGUGGUUUGAUUUGAUCCAUUGUCAGAAGUCUCUAGAGAUGGGAAAUAAAUGUGACUGCAAAGCAUUUGAUCAUUCACUCUGGAGGAAGCCAGCUGCCCUUUCGUGAAAAACUCUUCGUUGACGCCCUAGCGGCAUGGACCUGAGACCUCUUGCCAACAGCCACGUGAGUGAGCUUAGAAGUGAAUCUCCCAGCCCCAUUCAAGUCUUUGGGUGACCACGGCCUCAGAUGACAGUUUGAGUGCAGCCUCCUGAGAGAUUGAACCAGAACCAUCCAGCUAAGCUGCUCCCAGGUUCCUGAUCCUGAGGAGCUAUGUAAGAUACUAAAUGUUCAUUAUUUUAAACCACUAAAUUUUGGGGCAAUUUGUUGUGCAAUAAGAGAUAACUAAUACAAGGGGGCAGGAAUGAUAGUGUGGCAAUCUAGCCUGGAAAGGAUUGGGCCAGGAAUUCAUUCAUUACCAAGCAGACUAGACAGGAAUGUAUCAUGUUUAAGUAGGUCAGUUAAGGCAAAAAAAAAACAACACAACAAAUAUGGUACAGGUUUCGAAGGUCAGCAUGUCAAGGCUGGAGUGUUGGAGAGCCAGCAAAACAGACACACUUUGGUGAAGUGAGUACCUAAGAGUUUAACCCCAAAAGUUAGUAGAGGAUGCAGGUGAAUUAGAUCUUAAUAGAGACAACUACAGAGAACCUAGAAUCACCUCACAGAUUAGGAGACUCCCAAGACAUGUGAUGUAGAAGUUGUCCUAGUUAUCAGAGUUCAGUCAAUUAAAUUAGGCAUGCUUGGGCUCUGGCCAGGUAUCUCAGUUGGUUAGAGCAUUGUCCUGAUAUGCCAACAUUAUACGUUCAAACCCUGGUCAAAGUACAUACAAGAAUCAACCAACAAAUGCAUAAAUGAAUGGAACAACAAAUCGAUCUCUCUCUUUCUAAAAUCAAUCAAUCAAUAAUCAAUCAAUAAACAAUUGAAUAAAUAGGCCUGGUUGCUAUUCUCUAGGAAAUUAUAUUUUUAAAUGGACAGAUUGACAUGGGCAGGCAUAUAAAAGGGAGUAACUCUAAAUUCUAAAUGCAUGUUCCUCUUCCUUCUCCUCAUUCUCUUUGCCUCCAGCAUAGCUCAGGCUCUCAGUACUGCAUGCCUCCCACUUAAUUACUACCAGGUUGUUUUUUGUUCAUUAGCCUUGUCUCCUCAGCCAGACUGAGCUGCUGAAGGAAAGGGUCAUGUCUCAUUCGAUAAUCCUCCUUCAACCACAAGUUCUUAUUUGAAAUUGAAUAUAAAAUUUUGGAUCACUAUACAGGAAGCAUGUCAAGUUGCCACCAUCUUGAUUCUAAUGAGAUUCAAAGCUCUCUGGGUUAUUUGUUUCUACCCUUGUUUGCCUCUCUAUACUAUUGGAUACAUUUUUUCUAAUUUUUGCAAAGGUGUAUUAUCACUUAUUUUAUAUUAAAAGCAUUAUAAUGUGGUGCAAGGAAUAUCUGGGGGACAUACUGCUAUAGAUAAGAUAGACAUGGACCCUGCCUUCCUGCCAUUUGCUACCCAUGUAGUCUGUACAAUAGUAGGAAAACAGUUGUAAUUGAACAAUAAUACAGUUAGGCUGAGGCAGCUCCUGAGAACGUUUGAAGGCAUGACCCAUGAUGUGUCUUGAUAUUCCUCAAUGGGAGAUCCUUUUUGCGAUCUGACUCUAUGAAGAAAGUGUAAUUCCUAACAAAGAAGAGUUCAUAAGAUCUUCUUACACAGAACUCUUCAGCAUAGGAGGAUGCACUCACAUAAAAGAAUACAAAGAACACAAAAGUUGGAAAUACAGCAUAGCAUAUUGAAGCAAAGUAAGACCUUAGAAAAUAAUUCCUAAACUUUGAUAUCUAAAAAAUUUUAUUUGAGCAAGUGUAUUUUAUAAAGACCUUAACACAUAUAUUAAACUAGAGGCCUGGUGGACAAAAUUUGUGCACUUGGUUGGGGGGCCCUCAGCAUGGCCUGUGCCCUCUCACAGUCCAGGAGCCCUUGGGGGAUGU